rnacentral:rRNA from 1 species
AUUGAACGCUGGCGGCAUGCUUUACACAUGCAAGUCGAACGGCAGCGCGGGCUUCGGCCUGGCGGCGAGUGGCGAACGGGUGAGUAAUACAUCGGAACGUGCCCAGUAGUGGGGGAUAGCUCGGCGAAAGCCGGAUUAAUACCGCAUACGACCUGAGGGUGAAAGCGGGGGAUCUUCGGACCUCGCGCUAUUGGAGCGGCCGAUGGCAGAUUAGCUAGUUGGUGGGGUAAAGGCCUACCAAGGCGACGAUCUGUAGCUGGUCUGAGAGGACGACCAGCCACACUGGGACUGAGACACGGCCCAGACUCCUACGGGAGGCAGCAGUGGGGAAUUUUGGACAAUGGGCGAAAGCCUGAUCCAGCAAUGCCGCGUGUGUGAUGAAGGCCUUCGGGUUGUAAAGCACUUUUGGCGGGAACGAAAAGGACUGUGCCAAUACCACGGUACGAUGACGGUACCCGCAGAAUAAGCACCGGCUAACUACGUG